UACUACUAUGUAGGCGACAAGCUGGACUUGACCGGUUAAUUUUUGAGCCAAUGGACGCUUUAAACGUAUGUAUACAAACGUGACGAUAUGCAAUAGCACUGACUCGUCUAGUGCAGAAAUUAAUUGAAUAGUAUGCACAGGAUGUAUCAUGAAACCCGUUGUCGCCCUACGUACGGAAAUAGAUAGCUCUCUGUCUCGAGAGACGGCCUGUGUGAAGGACCGAGUCCGUCCGGUGGAUCGACCGAUGAAAUUGAUGAAAAAUCGAACGAGGCGUCAAACAAUGGAUGACUACCCUAGUGCGUACGCAGCUAGCUUUUGGGGCUCGAUGGCUAGGACAGUAGGACUAGGUAGCUAGUCGGGGCAAAGAUACGCCACAUAACACCAUGUGGCUUGAAGCACAUACGAAGUAGCCCGCACGCACGUUGUAGGAUGACAGUCGGCGAUACAGUCGGCACGAGAAGCCCCCAUUGAAGAAAAUUCCCCGGGAGUUACUAGAGUUUCGGUCGAUCUUGACUUUGAUGCAAAACAGAAAAAACUAGGUUAAAGUUUGGUAGGUAACUUAGGCACUUCCAACCGGCAGUGGGCGGAAAACUGUUGACCACGUGGAGCCUGGAGACUGCGGGGCUCUUGACUUGGAUUGAUUUGUCGAGAGUCUUUGGGGCGAUGUUGUGUGCUCAGAUUUAAUGGCCGAGUAGUCUACGGAGUAACAUAAGAACUUAAGAAGAGACGUUAUCUGGUUUAGCAGUCUUAACGUGGGGAAUCCAGGUGCCGA
rnacentral:lncRNA from 1 species